ACGCUCGACACCUACGCGAGGCAGCAGUAGGGAAUCUUCCACAAUGGACGCAAGUCUGAUGGAGCAACGCCGCGUGAGUGAAGAAGGUUUUCGGAUCGUAAAGCUCUGUUGUUGGUGAAGAAGGAUAGAGGUAGUAACUGGCCUUUAUUUGACGGUAAUCAACCAGAAAGUCACGGCUAACUACGUGCCGGCAGCCGCGGUAAUCUGAGCGGGCUGGCAAGGC
rnacentral:rRNA from 1 species